rnacentral:rRNA from 17 species
AUUGAACGCUGGCGGCAUGCCUUACACAUGCAAGUCGAACGGCAGCACGGGUGCUUGCACCUGGUGGCGAGUGGCGAACGGGUGAGUAAUAUAUCGGAACGUACCUUAUCGUGGGGGAUAACGCAGCGAAAGCUGCGCUAAUACCGCAUACGCCCUGAGGGGGAAAGCGGGGGACCGUAAGGCCUCGCGCGAUUAGAGCGGCCGAUAUCUGAUUAGCUUGUUGGUGGGGUAAAAGCCCACCAAGGCGACGAUCAGUAGCUGGUCUGAGAGGACGAUCAGCCACACUGGGACUGAGACACGGCCCAGACUCCUACGGGAGGCAGCAGUGGGGAAUUUUGGACAAUGGGGGCAACCCUGAUCCAGCAAUGCCGCGUGAGUGAAGAAGGCCUUCGGGUUGUAAAGCUCUUUUGUCAGGGAAGAAACAGCAGCUCUAACACAGUCUGCGAAUGACGGUACC